rnacentral:rRNA from 1 species
UACGGGGGGAGCAAGCGUUGUUCGGAUUUACUGGGCGUAAAGGGCGCGUAGGCGGCGCAACAAGUCACUUGUGAAAUCUCCGAGCUUAACUCGGAACGGUCAACUGAUACUGUGCGGCUAGAGUGCGGAAGGGGCAACUGGAAUUCUUGGUGUAGCGGUGAAAUGCGUAGAUAUCAAGAGGAACACCUGCGGCGAAGGCGGGUUGCUGGGCCGACACUGACGCUGAGGCGCGAAAGCUAGGGGAGCGAACGGG